rnacentral:misc_RNA from 1 species
GAUGAAGAACGCAGCGAAACGCGAUAAGUAAUGUGAAUUGCAGAAUUUAGUGAAUCAUCGAACUUUUGAACGCACAUUGCGCCCCUUGGUAUUCCAUGGGGCAUGCCUGUUCGAGCGUCAUUUGUACCUUCAAGCUUUGCUUGGUGUUGGGUGUUUGUCUCGCCUUUGCGUGUAGACUCGCCUUAAAAUAAUUGGCAGCCGGCGUAUUGAUUUCGGAGCGCAGUACAUCUCGCGCUUUGCACUCAUAACGACAGCGUCCAAAAGUACAUUUUACACUCUUGACCUCGGAUCAGGUAGGGAUACCCGCUGAACUUAAGCAUAUCAAUAAGCGGAGGA